GGCAGCGUGGGACGCUACGGCGGAUAUGGCUGCAGAGCGGCCGGCUGGGAUCUUAGAUAGGAGGGGUGGAUUUGCAAGGCCUAGAAUAGCUGGGGAGUGGUUUCCCCGCGGAAUCGGCCUCCCUGCCGCUCCUGCUUUGUACUGUGACGCUCAGCCUGUGAUGACUGGUGUGGAAUCCGCUGAGCCACCUUGGCCUAAGGAGACUUUACCACUCUGAGAUUGUAAAUCUGUAAAAUAGAGAUGUAGGAUUAGCCCAUACGGUAGUUGUGGUAAAUACUGUGAGACAAUAAGGGGCCUGGGACACAGCAUUCAAAUGGGAAUAAUGAAGGUCAAGACUGUGAUUCCUGUAUCUUUGACGCUCUCGGUAUAAGCACCGUCGUGGGCACAGGGCAGUGGCCUUUAUGCAGGAGUUUAAGAGGGAAUGAAGGAAUGAAUGGGCAAACUCUGGAGUUCCCAAGUAUUCUCUCCAGGAGCUGUUUCCAUUCUUUUCGUUUCCAGCAGCAGAUUUUAUGGAGCUGCAAUUACUUUGAUCAUGAGGGACUGAUGCUAGUGGAUUUACUUCACCAAAUGGAACUCACUUUGUGGCUUCUGAAGAAGGGACCUUUGUGGACUGUCAUGGAGUAGUUAAGAGUGCAGGCUCUGAUUUAGUGAUCAGAGUCUGCAUUGUCAGGAAUGGGACAAAGUGAAGUUAUGUGGCACUUGAUAGGAUGCCCUGAGAAGAUUGCAACAUCACCCCUGUGAUAUUCCUGCUGAAGAUCCAUAACCUGGAUGUAAUCAUGAGGAUAUAUCAGACAAACCCACGUAAAGAGACAUGCUGUAUACAAAACUGUAAUCUUAGAAAGUGCCAAGGUCAUGAAAAUCAAAGAUAGACCCUGGAACUGUUCCAAACUGGAGGGGACCAAAGAGGCAUGACAACUAAACACAACACAUGAUUCUGAACUGGAUCUUUUUGCUUGAAAGGAAGUUACAGGGACAGUUGGAAAAGUUUAAAUGGGGCCUACAAUGCCGUGGUAAUGAUGUGUCCGUGUUAAUUUCCUGAUUUUCAUGGUUGCCUGUUAAGUUACAUCAGAGGAUGUUCUUGUUUGCUGGAAAGUAAAUCAAUGUAUUUGGCAGGGGAUAAGGCAUCAAAUGGUCACCUUAAUUUCAAAUUAUUACAGGGAAAAUGUUUCUCUCUGUACUUAAUAACUUUUUUGCAAUUUCUUAAAAUGAAAGCUCUGGAGUAAAAACUUCAAGGAUCCAA
rnacentral:lncRNA from 1 species